AUGCUGGUCAACCGGCCCACCAGUCCCAAUUUCACCAUGGGUCGCAAGGGGGAGUUCUCUUGGGUCAACAAAACGACAGUGGAUGACCCAGCACCCAACAGAUACAACACAGACCGGGCCUACAAGCAUGUGCUGUUCCGGUCGCCUUCCUUCAUCAUGGCUCCGGCCCAACACAUUGUGUUUGGAUGGGCAAAAAAAGGUCAAGAUCUAUAUAUAUAUAAAAGAGUGAUGGAAUCCUUCUAUAUAUAUAAGAGUGAUGGAAUCCUGGCGACCGCCAAAACAACAAAACUAAACACCCCACAACCUCGAAAAUUGACAACACAACCCAUCAUCCAUGCCUCUAGGUUGAUACAACAAAAAGAAAAGAAAAAUAAAGUCCUAAUUAGAGGGAGAGGAAGAAUUGUUUUUAUCCAAUUGCUGCCAGUUAGAAGGCUAAGCUGCGCCCACUUGGUCUCCUAGCAACCCACUCACCCAGGGGACAGUCAGAGUUAGGCCUCACUAAGGCCUCUUCCACACUGCCUAUAAAAUACAGAUUAUCAGAUUUUAACUGGAUUAGAUGACAGUGUAGACUCAAGGCCCUUCCACACAGCUAUAUAACCCAUAUAAUCUUAUAUUAUCUGCUUUAACUGGAUUAUCUGGACUCCACACCUUUACCCUUUACCUUAACUACCACCCAUUCCUCAAUACUUUAUUUCCCAUACCACCAGACUUCGCCACAGCAACGCGUGGCCAGGCACAGCUAGUAUUUUUAUAAAUGUUCCUGAAUUACUUUUCCUUCAAACAAGGAGUAGGAAGCACCUACUACAGUUGAUGUUAUACAUUUAGAAGGUUAUAUAUUCCAUCACUGGUCAAGACAACAGCUUUUCUUGUUAUUGGAAAUGGUUUUGCCAUUUGUUUACAUUCUCUUUUAGUAUCUAUAUAUUUUAAGAGUUGUACAUUAAUUUCGCUCCGGUGGCGAAGUGUGUUAAAGCACAGAGCUGGAGACCAAAAGGUCCCAGGUUCAAACCCCGGGAGCGGCAUGAGUGGCCGCUGUUAGCUCCAGUUCCUGCCAACCUAGCAGUUCGAAAACAUGCAAAUGUGAGUAGAUCAAUAGGUACCGCUCCGGCUGGAAGGUAAUAUCUCUCCUUGCAAUUGGCUACAUGACCUUGGAGGUGUCUAUGGACAACGCCAGCUCUUCGGCUUAGAAAUGGAGAUGAGCACCAUAGAAUCAUAGAAUAGUAGAGUUGGAAGAGACCUCAAGGGCCAUCUAGUCCAACCCCCCGC
rnacentral:lncRNA from 1 species